rnacentral:rRNA from 1 species
CACUAUCGUUAACUGAAUACAUAGGUUAACGAGGCGAACCGGGGGAACUGAAACAUCUAAGUACCCCGAGGAAAAGAAAUCAACCGAGAUUCCCCCAGUAGCGGCGAGCGAACGGGGAGCAGCCCAGAGUCUGAAUCAGCUUGUGUGUUAGUGGAACGGUCUGGAAAGUCCGACGGUACAGGGUGAUAGUCCCGUACACCAAAAUGCACAGGCUGUGAACUCGAAGAGUAGGGCGGGACACGUGGUAUCCUGUCUGAAUAUGGGGGGACCAUCCUCCAAGGCUAAAUACUCCUGACUGACCGAUAGUGAACCAGUACCGUGAGGGAAAGGCGAAAAGAACCCCGGCGAGGGGAGUGAAAAAGAACCUGAAACCGUGUACGUACAAGCAGUGGGAGCACCUUCGGGUGUGACUGCGUACCUUUUGUAUAAUGGGUCAGCGACUUAUAUUCUGUAGCAAGGUUAACCGUAUAGGGGAGCCGCAGGGAAACCGAGUCUUAACUGGGCGUUAAGUUGCAGGGUAUAGACCCGAAACCCGGUGAUCUAGCCAUGGGCAGGUUGAAGGUUGGGUAACACUAACUGGAGGACCGAACCGACUAAUGUUGAAAAAUUAGCGGAUGACUUGUGGCUGGGGGUGAAAGGCCAAUCAAACCGGGAGAUAGCUGGUUCUCCCCGAAAGCUAUUUAGGUAGCGCCUCGUGAAUUCAUCUUCGGGGGUAGAGCACUGUUUCGGCUAGGGGGUCAUCCCGACUUACCAACCCGAUGCAAACUACGAAUACCGAAGAAUGUUAUCACGGGAGACACACGGCGGGUGCUAACGUCCGUCGUGAAGAGGGAAACAACCCAGACCGCCAGCUAAGGUCCCAAAGUCAUGGUUAAGUGGGAAACGAUGUGGGAAGGCACAGACAGCCAGGAUGUUGGCUUAGAAGCAGCCAUCAUUUAAAGAAAGCGUAAUAGCUCACUGGUCGAGUCGGCCUGCGCGGAAGAUGUAACGGGGCUAAACCAUGCACCGAAGCUGCGGCAGCGACACUAUGUGUUGUUGGGUAGGGGAGCGUUCUGUAAGCCUGCGAAGGUGACCUGUGAGGGUUGCUGGAGGUAUCAGAAGUGCGAAUGCUGACAUAAGUAACGAUAAAGCGGGUGAAAAGCCCGCUCGCCGGAAGACCAAGGGUUCCUGUCCAACGUUAAUCGGGGCAGGGUGAGUCGACCCCUAAGGCGAGGCCGAAAGGCGUAGUCGAUGGGAAACAGGUUAAUAUUCCUGUACUUGGUGUUACUGCGAAGGGGGGACGGAGAAGGCUAUGUUAGCCGGGCGACGGUUGUCCCGGUUUAAGCAUGUAGGCUGGUUAUCCAGGCAAAUCCGGAUAAUCAAGGCUGAGGUGUGAUGACGAGGCACUACGGUGCUGAAGUAACAAAUGCCCUGCUUCCAGGAAAAGCCUCUAAGCAUCAGGUAACAUCAAAUCGUACCCCAAACCGACACAGGUGGUCAGGUAGAGAAUACCAAGGCGCUUGAGAGAACUCGGGUGAAGGAACUAGGCAAAAUGGUGCCGUAACUUCGGGAGAAGGCACGCUGGUGUGUAGGUGAAGUCCCUGCGGAUGGAGCUGAGACCAGUCGAAGAUACCAGCUGGCUGCAACUGUUUAUUAAAAACACAGCACUGUGCAAACACGAAAGUGGACGUAUACGGUGUGACGCCUGCCCGGUGCCGGAAGGUUAAUUGAUGGGGUUAUCCGUAAGGAGAAGCUCUUGAUCGAAGCCCCGGUAAACGGCGGCCGUAACUAUAACGGUCCUAAGGUAGCGAAAUUCCUUGUCGGGUAAGUUCCGACCUGCACGAAUGGCGUAAUGAUGGCCAGGCUGUCUCCACCCGAGACUCAGUGAAAUUGAACUCGCUGUGAAGAUGCAGUGUACCCGCGGCAAGACGGAAAGACCCCGUGAACCUUUACUAUAGCUUGACACUGAACAUUGAGCCUUGAUGUGUAGGAUAGGUGGGAGGCUUUGAAGCGUGGACGCCAGUCUGCGUGGAGCCAACCUUGAAAUACCACCCUUUAAUGUUUGAUGUUCUAACGUUGGCCCCUUACCGGGGUUGCGGACAGUGUCUGGUGGGUAGUUUGACUGGGGCGGUCUCCUCCCAAAGCGUAACGGAGGAGCACGAAGGUUAGCUAAUCCUGGUCGGACAUCAGGAGGUUAGUGCAAUGGCAUAAGCUAGCUUGACUGCGAGCGUGACGGCGCGAGCAGGUGCGAAAGCAGGUCAUAGUGAUCCGGUGGUUCUGAAUGGAAGGGCCAUCGCUCAACGGAUAAAAGGUACUCCGGGGAUAACAGGCUGAUACCGCCCAAGAGUUCAUAUCGACGGCGGUGUUUGGCACCUCGAUGUCGGCUCAUCACAUCCUGGGGCUGAAGUAGGUCCCAAGGGUAUGGCUGUUCGCCAUUUAAAGUGGUACGCGAGCUGGGUUUAGAACGUCGUGAGACAGUUCGGUCCCUAUCUGCCGUGGGCGCUGGAGAAUUGAGGGGGGCUGCUCCUAGUACGAGAGGACCGGAGUGGACGCAUCACUGGUGUUCGGGUUGUCAUGCCAAUGGCACUGCCCGGUAGCUAAAUGCGGAAGAGAUAAGUGCUGAAAGCAUCUAAGCACGAAACUUGCCCCGAGAUGAGUUCUCCCUGAGACUUUAAGUCUCCUGAAGGAACGUUGAAGACGACGACGUUGAUAGGCCGGGUGUGUAAGCGCAGCGAUGCGUUGAGCUAACCGGUACUAAUGAACCGUGAGGCUUAACCUU